rnacentral:lncRNA from 1 species
UGCUUAAACCAGUACAACCAUAAGAUGUAGGAUCACAAUGGCCUGCUAGGUUCAACAUAGGAGUUUGGCCAUUCCCAAAAGUAGACAAGAAAGCUAUGUUCACGUAUUGAUAAUUUCCCGAGGCACAAGUUUCGGCCAAGGUGCCUUCAUUGCCAUUUUGGCCCCAGUAGAUGGCAAUACCUCCUCCAGAAGAGGGCUCCCAUAAGGCAAUAUCUAAAAGGGAGACAAGUAGGGAGAGAGGCUGUGAAUAGUGGUAGGCCAUCCUUGAUCGAUGUCUCCACAAUGGCGGAGUGGAAGCCAAUUUAUAGUUGAGCCCUGUCCUGUCCUGUGCCUUUCAAACGUACCAUUUUGGGAAAUUGUGUUAAUAAUUAUUGAAAUUAAAUCAUAAUAAAUUUCAAUUUUGGCUUUCUAUUCUGGGUCCUCUAUUGUUUAAAUUUUUUUAUUGUUAUAAUAAUAUAACUAAAAACAAUGGUUUAAAAUAUUUAUAUAUUUUAACUUUAUUACGAUUAAUAAACUAAAUUUAUAAGAAAUUAGAAAAAAUAUUAUUGAAACAUAUCAUCAUCCCCAUAUCUUGUGAUAAAGAAAUUACAAUCUAAUAAUUUAAUAUUAUAACAAUUAUCUAUUGAAUUAUCAUCCACGUUAAACAUAUUAUAAUCAUUAUUUUUAAUAAUCCUUUUCUGAAUGAUCUAAUAUUAAUUUGGAUGUGUAAUUUAAUAAUUCUCAAAAAUUUUAAUAGUAAAUCAAUUCACUGAAAAAAUUUCAAUGUUUUCAUCAUUUUAUAUUUUAAUUUAGAUGUUUAACCUAACGUUUGAUUUUAGUGUAAUUUUAAUAAUUUUUAAAAUUAAAAUUAAAAUUAAAAAUAAAUAAUUAAUUAUUAAAUAUAUAAUUUAUACCUUCAAAAUAAAUUUUAUUUUACAAUAAUAAUUAUAAAUAUUUUAUAACAAAUAUAUUAUUUAAUCUAAGAUAGUUGUUUAUAUAAAAUAAUCAAAAAUAAUAUUUUUAUUAUAAAAUCUUUAUAAAAUUUAUCUAUUAUUAAAAAAGCAGUUGUUAAAUUACUAUUAUUUUUAUAAUUAAAUAUAUUAAUUAAUUAUAAUUAAAUAUGAAUUAAUAAUUUAUAUUAAAAAAUAAAAUAUUAUAUGUGACGUGUCUUUUAUAUUCUAAUAUUUUAAUUUUUAAAAAUUAACUAAAAUUAUAUCAAAAUAUAAUGUUAAGUUAAUAUUUAUUCAAAAUUUAAAUAUUUGAAUUAAAAUGUAAAAUGAUAUAAAUAUUAACAUUUUUUCAAUUAAUUAACUUUAAUAUUAUUGUGUGUAUAUAUAUUUUCACAAAUAAUUUAUUUUAAUUUUUAAUAAUAUUUAAUAAAAUUAUGUACUAUUUUCAUAUUAUAUAUAAUUAAAAUUAAAUUUAAAAUUUAUGAUUUUAGUUAAUAUUUGAUAUUUAAUUUAUAUUAAAAUACUUAAUAUUUAAUAUAAUUCAUAAUUAAAUUUAUACGAUAUAUGUUCUUUAAUAAUUCUUUAAAUUACAUAAUAAUUGAAAGUAUUAUUUUAAAAUAUGCAAUAAAAUAUUAUAAAUUAAUUAUUAAAGUAAACUUAACUAAUUAGUUAAUAAUUAUUAAAAGCAAUAUCUAACUAAAUAAUAUAUAGUUUAUUUUUUAUAUUUAAUAGAUAACAAAGAUUUUUAAUUCUUACUAUAUUAAGUAGCCAUAAAUUUUUACUAGAAUUAUGAAUUUCUAUUUUUAAUCAUUUUCUUUUUUGUAAAAAGGAUUAAAAAACAGGAAAAGUGAUUUAUAAAAUAUUUUAACUUUAGAUAUUUUAAUUAAUAAUUUCACAAAAUAUUUUAGUAAAAAUUCAUAUUUAAAACGUUAAUGGCGACAUAAAAUAUUUUAAUUGUGUUUGCUGUUUUUUGUUUUGGAUAAAUUACUGGAACUUGCAAUUUGGUACUGCUCUUUUAAUAUUAAAUAAUUUUAUCUUUAAAUUUUUAUUUUAUUAAUAAAAUAUUUUUUCUUAAAUUUAUUACUAUUAAUAGUUAAUUAAAAAAAUUAACUUAAAUUAAAUGAAUUACAUUAAUUUUUAUUGAAUCUAAAUGAAUUACAUUAAAUAAAUAUUAAGCUUAAUAUGAUUAAAUUAUUAAAAUUAAAUGGAUCAAUAAUAUUUAAAUGAUUAAACUGUGAUAGUCUUAACAAUGAAGCUUUAAGGAAAGAGUAUUUUAUAAACAACAUUUUAAAAAAUAAAAAUAAUUUUUUAUUAAAAUAUUAGAGACUUAAUUAUAAAAUUUAUUAUAUUUUAAAUAUCGUAAAUUUUUUUUUUGUGUUUUAAUAAAUAUAUUCCAAAUUAUAAAAAUUAACUAAUAUAUUCUAAACUAAUAAGAUAUAUUUAUUUAUAUUAAUUUAAUAUAAUUAAUAAUUAUUAAAAACAUUUAAAAUUUAUCAAUUUUAAUAAUUAUAUCAUAAACUUUCUUUUUAAUAAAUAUAUCCCAAAUUAAUAUUUUAAUUUCAUUUAAUUGUUAAUUUUAAUUUAAUUUAUUGAUAAUUUGGGACGAUAUACGUUGAUCCGAUAAUUUGUAUUUUAAUUUUUUUAUAUAGACAAAUAUAAUUUUUAUAUAGUUAUAAGUUAUAAAGGUUGUAAUAACAUUAAUUCUAGUAAAUUAAAAAUAAUGAUUCUCUUAAUUUAAAAAAAUUAAUUAUAUUUAUUAUAUUUACUUUGAUUAUGUUGUAAGACAAUAAUCUUAAUUGAUAAAUUUAAAAUAGAUAAAUUUAUUAGAUAAUAUAUAAAAUAUAGUUAUAAAUUAAAAUUUCAUUAUAAUUUUUUAUUAAUUAGAUGAUGGUUUACUUUUAAUUUUAUUAAAAUAGAUAUAAUAAAUAUAAUUAAUUUUCAGAUAAUGAUGAUUCUUAAUUUACUGAUAGUAUUAUUAGUAUAAUACUUAUAACUGAUAAUUGCGUAAAAUAUUAUAUUUAUUGAUGUAAAAAAUAAUAAAAAAAAUUAUUGACCAUUAAAAAUAUGUUAUUUAAAAUAAUAAGUAAGUCGAAUUAAAAUUAAAAUUUAAAUAAAUUAAAAAUUAAUUUGGAAUAUAUUUAUUAAAAAUAUUGACGGUAUACUUAUUGAUAAAAUUUGAAAUUUUUUUAUAAUUAUAUAUUUAGAUUAUAUUAAAAUAUUAAUUUUUUAUAUUAAUUAAAAUAAUAAUAUAAUAUUUAUGAACGGUCAAAUUUAAUAAUAGAGUAUAAAUAAAUUUAAAUUAUUAGUUGAAAAUACAUGUGUUAAAACAUAAAUAAUUUUAAAAUUUUUUUACUAUUAUUCCAAUAUCAUAUUAUAAAUUAUCUUUUAUCACCAAGUAUUGGGAGUCAUCGGGAAAUUUUCAAACAUGUAUUGCAAAUCAUCAAUUAGAUUCUGAAAAUAAUAAAUUUUAUAAUGUUGUACUUAAUAUAACAUUUACUUAGAUUUUUUUCAUUAUUAGAUUAUUUACAAAUUUAAAAUUUUAUUUUUAUGUUAAUUAAAAAUUCAUAUGAUAAAAUUAAUAAAAAUAAAAUAAAUAUUAAUAAAAUUUUAAAUAUUUUACAUUACUAACAGGUAAAAUAAAUUAUAGUUAAAAGCUAUUAUUGUAAUAUCAUAAAUUCUUUGUUCAAUAUAUUAUUUGUUAGAUUAAUAUUUUAUAAAAACCAGAUUUUUAAUUUAAUUUUCCAAAGUUCUUAUAUUCAAAUAAUUUUUAUAAGAAAUAAUUUAAAAUCUUUAGAAAUUAGAAAUAAAAUUUUUAAUUUAAAGUGUUUUACUCUUUUCUUAAUAUUGUUUUUAAUCAAUGACAAAAUUAAUUAGAAUUAAACUUUAAAUAAAAUUAAGAAUUUUAAAAUAUAUUAAUAAAUUGUAAAACUUAAAUAAAAUAUAUUCUUGGUAUAACAAACUGCAAUUUAAAUAAGAAGCUAAUCUAACUAAAUAAAUCCAAUUAAAAGUUUUUAAGUAUUAAUAAUUUUAAUCAAUUAAAAUAAAGAAAAAAAAAAAACUAAACCAUAGGCAUUUUGAGCAUUCUCAUUAUUUCCUCUCCCAUUCCCAUAGAGCUGCAUGCCUGCAUAUUACAUUUUGUGGUCUGGGCUUCAUUUCUGUAUUCUUUUGGGUUGGGCCUCAGGUGGCCUUUUCUUUUUAACCUCUUAUGUUUUUUUCCUUUUUUAAAAAAUGGGUAUUGGAGAUCGGAGAUUUGGGAGUAGAAUUUGAGAUCUCUUAUAUUUAUUCAGAUACACUUACCACCACGCUAAGCUUAUGAGUCAGUCUAAUCUCUUUUGUUUAUAAUUGAACUUUGAGGCCUCAUUAAUGAAUUUAUCUCACCUUCAAUAAUAAUAAUAAAUAAAUAAAUAAAUAAAAACCUGACUUCAAAUAGAUAAAUUUUAUGUGGAUCAUAAAAUGGACAUAUAAAAGUGCUAUGGUAAUUAAAAAAAAAAAAACAGUGUUGUUUAUAUUUAUGUGUAUCUAUUAUUUUUUAAAAAAAUAAUAAACUCUAUAUAAUUAAUUAGGAAAAAUAUGGACAAAUGAGUUUAGCUUAAUAAGUCGUGUAAAGCCAUCAAUAUUGAAAAAUCUCAAUGAGCCAUCUUAGUCCAACAAAAAACUCUGCCGUUUUAUCGGAAAUAAACACUGCUUGAGCUUGUUGCCUACUUCAAUGGCAUAGGCUCUCUUCUCUUGAGUAUAUUCAAAAUACAAGGAAAGUUCAAUGGAAAGGAAUAUUAGAAUAAGUUGAUGAAUGAUGCAGGCAUGGUGAGUGAAAAUCCAAUUCCUGGAUUAAGUGUUAGAAUGUCACUUGAAAAACUCAAGAGAGAAAGAAAAAGAAAUUAAACCACUUGGAACAUUUCAUUAUUCAGUUUUGUUAUAUAAUUCUAUAUAGAUAUAAAUUAAGUAGUGCAUAUGAUCAUGUUUUAUUGGCUAAUUAUAACUUAAUCACACUGCACUCUUUAUAGAUGAGCUAUAUCCAUUGUCAUAAAACUUGCUCCACAGCAUCACUCCUCCAUACUUGGAGGAACUCUUGAUAGAUGGAAGAACUUGAGAAGUCAACACAUCGGCCGGGAUGAAUCCACCACUAGGGGCUGCUUCUUCUGCCGCAGGAAGUCCCAAAAACACUUGGCUCGCUUGGACUGUGCUCCACUGAUUCCAUGCACUCAAGAGAUUGUCAGCACUCCCGCUGUAUUGACAUUGAGGAUUGUUAUAGAAUUGGACCCACACGUAAUCGAAAUGGCCAGUGUUAAUUGCGUUGCUUAGAUGAGCAUCAGGGAAUGGACAUUGUGGAGCCGCUGACAAGUAUACCUUUCUUUGUUGGCUAAACCCAUUAAGGGCCUUAGCAAGAUCAUCCCAGAAUUGGUCUGAACCUCCCUCAAUAUCAAAAUCAAUACCAUCCAAAACGGCAUUUCCUAGUGGACGUGAAUCGGACGUCCCACCAAGGAAGUUAUUCCAAAGAUAAUUAGCGACUUGGUUUGCAUCAUCCGCCGAUGAAAGAGAGUAGCUACCUGCACCUCCUCCAAGGGACAGUAGGACUUUGAUGCCCUGACCUUGGCAAGCUGCAAUAUCAGAGCUCAAACCAGUGCAACCAUUAGAACUAGGAUUACAAUGACCUGCUAGGUUCAGCACUGGAGUUUGGCCAUUCCCAAAAGUAGACAAGAAAGCUAUGUUCACGUAUUGAUAAUUUCCCGAGGCACAAGUUUCGGCCAAGGUGCCUUCAUUGCCAUUUUGGCCCCAGUAGAUGGCAAUACCUGCCCCAGUAGAUGGCUUGCAUAAGGUAAGAACUAAAAGGGAGAGAAGUAGGGAGAAACGGUAGGCC